rnacentral:rRNA from 1 species
UACAUAGGUGGCAAGCGUUGUCCGGAAUUAUUGGGCGUAAAGCGCGCGCAGGCGGUCCUUUAAGUCUGAUGUGAAAGCCCACGGCUCAACCGUGGAGGGUCAUUGGAAACUGGGGGACUUGAGUACAGAAGAGAAGAGUGGAAUUCCACGUGUAGCGGUGAAAUGCGCAGAGAUGUGGAGGAACACCAGUGGCGAAGGCGACUCUUUGGUCUGUAACUGACGCUGAGGCGCGAAAGCGUGGGGAGCAAACAGG